AUGGACUUACCGCUGGUGUACCAGUUGUCUCGCCAGAGGCAUCGCUGGGUAGCUAUGUAGGGAAGGGAUAAACGCUGAAAGCAUCUAAGUGUGAAGCCCACCUCAAGAUGAGAUUUCCCAUUUCUUUAAGAAAGUAAGAUCCCUGAGAGAUGAUCAGGUAGAUAGGUCAGAAGUGGAAGGCCAGUGAUGGUUGGAGCGGACUGAUACUAAUCGAUCGAGGACUUAACCAAAAA
rnacentral:rRNA from 1 species